CAUGUGCUCUGCCACAGUUUGCACGUUUUAUUCACUCAAACAAUAAAACCUGUAACUCAAUUUAAUUAAUUACCUGUCUCGGUUUGAAUCUAAAUCUCUGAUAAUAACAAAAGGGUGCAUAUGACUUUUUCUGAUGCUGUUUCCCACAUGCAUGCCCAUGACAUCAUUUCUCCAUCUAAUGAUUAAAUCCCCCUCUCUUCACACAGACACGUUACAAGAUCAAAUUAAGAAACUAAGUUAAUGUACUAUUUUCUUUAUGCAUACACAUGUUCAAAUAAAAAAAGUUGUUGUGACGUUGUCAUGUUUCAGCGUCUUACUUGGGGGAAUAGUCAUGUCCUCAUAUUUGCAUCAUGUUAUGUUCUCAACUUUGUAUCCUUGGUUCUCAGUAGGAGUUUAGGUGUGGUGUCA